rnacentral:ncRNA from 2 species
UAAAUUAGUUCCUGUUGGUGAAUUACGGCGAAAAUCCGUAGAAGUGCCGCUACUGUUAUAUCCAGAGCCCAACUUUUCA